rnacentral:sRNA from 1 species
UCCCUGUUGCCGCACUCUUCCAUGUUGG